GGGCCCGCACAAGCGGUGGAGUAUGUGGUUUAAUUCGAUGCAACACGAAGAACCUUACCAGGGUUUGAAAUCAUUUCAAAACUCCUUGAAAGAGGAGCCUCCUUCGGGAUGAAAUGACAGGUGGUGCAUGGCUGUCGUCAGCUCGUGUUGUGAAAUGUCGAGUUAAGUCUCGUAACGAGCGCAACCCAUGUCUCUUGUUGCUCACUGAGUGCUUAAGAGAGACUGCCGACCAACAUCGGAGGAAGGUGUGGAUGAUGUCAAGUCAGCAUGCCCCUUACAUCCUGGGCUACACACGUACUACAAUGGUAAGGACAAUGAGCUGCAAGUUCGCGAGGACAAGCAAA
rnacentral:rRNA from 1 species